GAUGAAGAACGCAGCGAAAUGCGAUAAGUAAUGUGAAUUGCAGAAUUCAGUGAAUCAUCGAAUCUUUGAACGCACAUUGCGCCCGCCAGUAUUCUGGCGGGCAUGCCUGUUCGAGCGUCAUUUCAACCAUCAAGCCCCCGGCUUGUGUUGGGGACCUGCGGCUGCCGCAGGCCCUGAAAAGCAGUGGCGGGCUCGCUGUCACACCGAGCGUAGUAGCAUACAUCUCGCUCUGGGCGUGCUGCGGGUUCCGGCCGUUAAACCCCCUUCAUAACCCAAGGUUGACCUCGGAUCAGGUAGGAAGACCCGCUGAACUUAAGCAUAUCAAUAAGCGGAGGA
rnacentral:misc_RNA from 1 species